rnacentral:rRNA from 1 species
UACGUAGGGUGCAAGCGUUAAUCGGAAUUACUGGGCGUAAAGCGUGCGCAGGCGGUUUUGUAAGUCUGUCGUGAAAUCCCCGGGCUCAACCUGGGAAUUGCGAUGGAGACUGCAAGGCUAGAAUCUGGCAGAGGGGGGUAGAAUUCCACGUGUAGCAGUGAAAUGCGUAGAUAUCGGAAGGAACAUCAGUGGCGAAGGCGACCUCCUGGACCAAUACUGACACUCAAGUGCGAAAGCGUGGGGAGCAAACAGG